AUGUAGGUAUCUGCCCUUUGGCCUGGAAUAACACGAGGAAACUUGUGCUAAUACCGGAUAAGUCUUUACGGAGAAAGCUUUAUGCACCAUUGGAUGAGCCUGCACUUGAUUAGUUUGUUGGUGGGGUAAUGGCCUACCAAGACUGUGAUCAAUAGCUGAUUUGAGAGGAUGAUCAGCCACAUUGGGACUGAGACACGGCCCAAACUCCUACGGGAGGCAGCAGUGGGGAAUCUUGCACAAUGGAGGAAACUCUGAUGCAGCGAUGCCGCGUGAGUGAAGAAGGCCCUUGGGUUGUAAAGCUCUUUCGUCGGGGAAGAAAAUGACUGU
rnacentral:rRNA from 1 species